rnacentral:rRNA from 1 species
GAUGAACGCUGGCGGCGUGCCUAAUACAUGCAAGUCGAGCGAACGGACGAGAAGCUUGCUUCUCUGAUGUUAGCGGCGGACGGGUGAGUAACACGUGGAUAACCUACCUAUAAGACUGGGAUAACUUCGGGAAACCGGAGCUAAUACCGGAUAAUAUUUUGAACCGCAUGGUUCAAAAGUGAAAGACGGUCUUGCUGUCACUUAUAGAUGGAUCCGCGCUGCAUUAGCUAGUUGGUAAGGUAACGGCUUACCAAGGCAACGAUGCAUAGCCGACCUGAGAGGGUGAUCGGCCACACUGGAACUGAGACACGGUCCAGACUCCUACGGGAGGCAGCAGUAGGGAAUCUUCCGCAAUGGGCGAAAGCCUGACGGAGCAACGCCGCGUGAGUGAUGAAGGUCUUCGGAUCGUAAAACUCUGUUAUUAGGGAAGAACAUAUGUGUAAGUAACUGUGCACAUCUUGACGGUACCUAAUCAGAAAACACGGCUAACUACGUG